UACGUAGGGUGCGAGCGUUGUCCGGAUUUAUUGGGCGUAAAGAGCUCGUAGGCGGUUUGUCGCGUCGGCCGUGAAAUCUCCACGCUUAACGUGGAGCGUGCGGUCGAUACGGGCAGACUUGAGUUCGGUAGGGGAGACUGGAAUUCCUGGUGUAGCGGUGAAAUGACGCAGAUAUCAGGAGGAACACCGGUGGCGAAGGCGGGUCUCUGGGCCGAUACUGACGCUGGAGGAGCGAAAGCGUGGGGAGCGAACAGG
rnacentral:rRNA from 1 species